GGAACCUCCACAGUCUAUACAUCCCCAGGUAGCCUGGAUCUGAGCGCCAAACAAAUCCAAAAAGCGCUCAGAUCCCACGAACACAUCCGAAAUGCCACUAGGGUAAAGUUCUGACCCGCCGUACACAUGCCCAUAAAUAAAAUUCUUGCACCAUAGCUUUCUCUACAUUGGUUCCACCACUUAAAUCAUUAUGUUUAAAAUUUAAAAAAUGCAUGCAGUCUGUGCCAGUCACAGCCAGGGGAGGUGUGGCUAGAGCUGCAUGGACAGAAACAAAAGUGGUUUAACUCCUAAAUGGAGUUAAAGGACCGCUAUAGUGCCAGGAAAACAUACUCCGCCGGGCUGGAUGGAGAGGAAGGGGUUAAACGUACCUCUUUCUCCAGCGCCAGGCGGGGAGCUCUCCUCCUCCUCCUCUCCGCCUCCUCUCCUCCUCUUCAGCUGAAUGCGCAUGUGCGGCAUGAGCCGCGCGCGCUUUCAGCCAGUCCAUAGGAAAGCUCAGCACAGACUUCCAGCAAUUGUUUGGGGUUCCAUUGGUGGCUGAAAAGACUGUGGGCCCAACAACUUGUCUCAGUUUCUUAGGCCUGGAUAUUUAUUCGGUGGUGGGGGAAUGUUGUUUACCAUCGGAUAAGCUGGCUGUGCUUCAGGCGAAAGUGAGGGCGGUUCAGAGUGAGUGUAAGGUGACGCUGCGGGAAGUGCAGUCGCUGCUGGGAAGCCUUAGCUUUGCCUGUCGCGUUAUUCCAAUGGGCAGGGUUUACAACCGUUUUCUGGCGAGGGCCACGUGUGGGAUACAAUUAUGUUCGGG